ACCUUCUUCUCGGCUCCUGAAAAACUUUUUCGUUGCUCUGGUUCCAAAAUGAGAAUGUCCAUCGGCCUAUCCGCUUGCUGUAGAACUGCUUGAAAGUAUUUCCCCUGAUCCCUCGUCUUCAACUCUGAAACGCCACAGAUGUAUCCACAAGCUGUGGAUUUUUUCUCAUAGUUUUUCCCCCCAGGUGAUCGACGUCUUUGGAAGGUAGUUGGAAGGUUUGAACCUAACAAGAACACUCUAGUCAAUGGCCAAUAAGAGUCCUCUAGUUUACAUUUUAUUACUUGAUGUGUAACCCUUCACCAAUUUAAAGUGAAUUUAUUUCGUUUAAAAUCAUACAGCAAGGUGUGCAGUGUAUUUGCAGAGGAUAACACUGAAACAUUAAAACACUUGUUUCCAAAGUGGUCCUCGAUGAUAAUGGUGUCUAUUCAUUCGGGCUUCCAAGGGCAAAAAAUUGUCAGACAUUUUAGGUACAAUUCUACUAACAGCAUACAUAGUUAACAAUUCAAUCAGUAUGUGCAAAAAAGUAUGGAAAUGUAUGUUUUAAAAUGGUUGUACCUGGGGUUGGGCCUGGGGUGUGGACUGGGGUUGGGCCUGGGGUGUAGACUGGGGUUGGGCCUGGGGUUGGGCCUGGGGUGUGGACUGGGGUUGAGCCUGUGGUUGGGCCUGGGGUGUGGACUGGGGUUGGGCCUGGGGUGUGGAUUGGGGUUGGGUCUGUGGUUGGGCCAGGGGUGUGGACUGGGGUUGGGCCUGGGGUGUGGACUGGGGUUAGGCCUGGGGUUGGGCCUGGGGUGUGGAUUGGGGUUGGGCCUGUGGUUGGGCCUGGGGUGUGGACUGGGGUUGGGCCUGGGGUGUGGACUGGGGUUGGGCCUGGGGUUGUACCUGUGGUUGGGCCUGGGGUGUGGACUGUGGAGGAAGAGGUUGGGACAGCGUAUGGGGUUGGGCCUGGGGUGUGGACUGUGGAGGAAGAGGUUGGGACAGCGUAUGGGGUUGGGCCUGGGGUGUGGACUGUGGAGGAAGAGGUUGGGACAGCGUAUGGGGUUGGGCCUGGGGUGUGGACUGUGGAGGAAGAGGUUGGGACAGCGUAUGGGGUUGGGCCUGGGGUGUGGACUGUGGAGGAAGAGGUUGGGACAGCGUAUGGGGUGUGGACUGGGGAGGAAGAGGUUGGGACAGCGGAUGGGGUUGGGACUGUGGAGGAAGAGGUUGGGACAGCGGAUGGGGUUGGGACUGUGGAGGAAGAGGUUGGGACAGCGGAUGGGGUUGGGACUGUGGAGGAAGAGGUUGGGACAGCGGAUGGGGUUGGGACUGUGGAGGAAGAGGUUGGGACAGCGGAUGGGGUUGGGACUGUGGAGGAAGAGGUUGGGACAGCGUAUGGGGUGUGGACUGUGGAGGAAGAGGUUGGGACAGCGGAUGGGGUUGGGACUGGGGAGGAAGAGGUUGGGACAGCGUAUGGGGUGUGGACUGGGGAGGAAGAGGUUGGGACAGCGGAUGGGGUUGGGACUGGGGAGGAAGAGGUUGGGACAGCGUAUGGGGUGUGGACUGUGGAGGAAGAGGUUGGGACAGCGGAUGGGGUGUGGACUGUGGAGGAAGAGGUUGGGACAGCAGAUGGGGUUGGGACUGUGGAGGAAGAGGUUGGGACAGCGGAUGUGGUUGGGACUGUGGAGGAAGAGGUUGGGACAGCGGAUGGGGUUGCUGGGUGCCUGGGGUCUAUGUCGUUGUUGUCGUUAGAUUAGAAAACUGUAUUAUGCUCUAAUUAAGAAAUGAUUUGUGCAGCAUAAGACAACAACCACCAUACAUACAAAAACAGAAGUUGAAUCACAAACCUUUUAAAAACAGACCUGCAACAUGAUUUAAAAGUAGUGCAUUACACCUCAAACAUUUGCUUUUCUUCAGUCUGGAGAAAGAUGUUCUGAUGUCUGGCUGAUGUUACAGGGACAGGAAUUUACUGCAGGUCUCACCGUCCUUACUGAUGUGUGUAUCCAGCAAACGGAUGAUAGAAUCUUCCGGGGCUGAUUUACUGAAGAUUUACAGCUUCCUGUAUUAGCGUAAAGUCACCAGUUUCUGCUCGUCUACAUGCUCUUAUGCUCUCUCUUCCCCUACUGUAUUUAUUUAUUUUGCUCCUUUGCACCCCAUUAUUUCUAUUUCUACUUUGCACUUUCUUCUACUACAAAUCUACCAUUCCAGUGUUUUACUUGCUAUAUUGUAAUUACUUCUCCACCAUGGCCUAUUUAAUGCCUUUACCUCCCUUAUCUCACCUCAUUUGCUCACAUUGUACAUAGAAUUAUUUUUCUACUGUAUUAUUGACUGUAUGUUUGUUUUACUCCAUGUGUAACUCUGUUGUAUGUUGCUUUGCUUUGCUUUAUCUUGGCCAGGUCGCAAUUGUAAAUGAGAACUUGUUCUCAACUUGCCUACCUGGUUAAAUAAAGGUGAAAUAAAAAGAAAUAAAAAACGUCUGAAGGAUGUGACUGGGUUCCGCUGACAGGACAUGCGUCAGAAACAUCUUAAUCUCUCAAUUUAUCCAUGUGGACCUGAGACAGAGAGACGCCUUGUGGGGGUUUUAGAAUCUACGGAAUGGGAAGCAACUGAAUUGAAGAAUUUAACUGAAUAAAAUCAAUAUAUACGAUUGGAGUUUAAUCAUUUAUAGCCUACAAUAAUUAGUCUAGGUAGUUAGUCUUACUUUUUAAUUGGAAAUAAACUGGUUUACCCUAGUUCUUCGGGCUUACAUUAUUGAUUAUGAUGGAUUUUUCUGAAUAAUUGUGUUGGCAGCCAGUUAGACUACAAGGUCACGGUGUGUCACAAAAGUCCUACAAGUAGACCUUUUACUCAAAGAUUAGGCUACCAUAUGCCGAUAAAUAUGUUAUGCUAUUCCUAUUAGAUUAGAUAGUGACCUACUAGACAAAGAUUAGAAGCUCUUACCUUGAAGAAAACCUAUAUAGGGGACUGCAGAAAGAUAUUAUGUAUGUAGGCUAACCUAUGUAUUUGUGAUCAGAAUUUCCUUUCACUUUAAUUAUAUUUUAAAUGUGGAAAUACCUUAUAGACUAGGCCUACUCGUCAUAGCUCUGCAUUUGACCAAUCAUCGCCUACAGGGAAGUUAAGAGAGAUUCAAAAUGGUAACAACCGUAGCUCAACUCAGACAGCUACAGACUGUAGGUUAAACGAGACACAAAUACACUGUCACCAUCUGUUGUUGACAAGUGUAACUACAGUUAAUAUACAGUAUAAAUUGAUGGAUGAAUCAUAAGUAUAUUGUAA
rnacentral:lncRNA from 1 species